rnacentral:rRNA from 1 species
AUUGAACGCUGGCGGCAUGCUUUACACAUGCAAGUCGAACGGGGUUGGGAGCUUGCUUCCAAUCUAGUGGCGAACGGGUGAGUAAUACAUCGGAACGUACCGUGUAGUGGGGGAUAACGUAGCGAAAGUUACGCUAAUACCGCAUACGAUCCACGGAUGAAAGCAGGGGACCUUCGGGCCUUGUGCUAUACGAGCGGCCGAUGUCUGAUUAGCUAGUUGGUGAGGUAAAGGCUCACCAAGGCGACGAUCAGUAGCGGGUCUGAGAGGAUGAUCCGCCACACUGGGACUGAGACACGGCCCAGACUCCUACGGGAGGCAGCAGUGGGGAAUUUUGGACAAUGGGCGCAAGCCUGAUCCAGCCAUGCCGCGUGUCUGAAGAAGGCCU